CUGUGGCACUUUAAAAUUUCCAGCACUAUGUCUACUGUUGUAAGAAUGUGUGGAUGAGACUAAAGUAAAAUGUUCAUGUAAGUAUGAUGGGCAUUUGCUAUUAAAGAUUUUAUGUACAUGGUUUAGUCGUAGUUGCUUUAUCCUAUUUUCUAUAUUAAGCCAUCCAAUAUCACUGAAAGCCGAGACUUAUGAUGUCAUCAACUUGAAAUUUUCCCUUAGGUGCCCCAGAUUAUCAGCUACAUCACACAUGAUUUACUUCUGCUGAUCAUUUGAUGUAAACAGGAAAGUUGAUGCAGUUUAAGAUUUUUGGUUUAUGUUGUGGUCUGGGGAUUAGCGGGGACAUUGACCUUCGAUCCAGCCAACCCCAGCUAAAACUACCGUCCUGCAGGGACAAAACGAUGGUAAAUUUGCACCAAAUGCAGCUGCAUCCCAGGGACCCUGGCCUAGGUAAGGCCCAUUCCCCGCUAUAUUUAAAGCGAAGACAAAACCACUGCAUUCUCCCGGCACUGCAGGACCACCGGAAAGGUCCUCAACUUCUUUAAUGCCAAAACACUAACACAGGUGGUUGUAACCAGCUGUGCCAAACCUGUCCCCUUGGCCAAAAUGAUCCCGAGCUGGUUUGGUUGUUGGCUCCUUGUAACCGAGGAAAAAAACAGUUUGAAAAUCUAAAUGUUCAGGACAAAGGAUGUGAGCCAGUUAGCCAGGAGCAGUCUUCAAAGUCACAAAUGCAGAAAGUGCUGUGUUCUUCGAGAAACAAAAGCUUUUAUACAGACAAUAACAGGCCUACAAGACUAUCUGUGGAGGCAACAAUACCUCAUCAAAUGUUCUUUUUAAAAAAAGAAGAUACCUCAUAGACAUAAAAAUGCAGUUGAAGGGAUUGUACACCAGAUUGGCAUCAAAAAAAAGUUUUUUUCUGUAACAAAUCUGAGGACAAUUAUUUAAUGGAAUGUGUUAAGCUGUGAUAUCAUAAUUGUAAAAUAGGUACAAAAAUGUAAAAAAAAAAUUGUGUCGAAGACCGGAUUCAAUGCUGUGUCGACUAAAUUGCAAUCCACUGUGCUACGAAUGCUUACUCCAAACGAGUGGUAUAUUUAAACUAUAUACCUGAUAUCACGUGAUAGCAUCGAAUAGCCAAUCACGCUUUAGGAAUGAAUUCUACUAGGUAGACAUACCCAGUAAUCUUUUUUAAUGGAAAGAUAUGAAAUAACUGCUAAACUUAAAUAAAAUUGUAAACUAUGUGGUACUUCAGUUGGUAAGUGUCAAUGCAUUGUACACAUAAAUACCAAGUAGUUGCCAAGUAUAUAUGUCAGUUUUCGACAAUUUUCUUUUUUUCUUGCAAAUUAAUCAUCUGGUGCACAGUUGCUUUAAAGAUGUUACUUGUCCUUUGAAAUGAAGAAAUGUAAAGUUCCAUCAAUAUCAAAAUAGUUCCUCAAUUGAUAAUUUGUUUUAAAUCAAUGGUGAAUGAGAUCAUUGGGAAUUUAUUGAAUCCAAAGUAUACAGUUUUUUUGGAACGAUUUCAUUGAAUGAAAAUUAAGCAUUAUAUUCUUUAUAAACUUAUUAACUUUUUUUGAGUUGAGGCCUUUCUUUUUUAAUAAAUUGGUUAACGGAUCUACCGCCCAAUUAUUUCGAAAAGUCCCCCCCCCCCCUCCAAUUUUUUUGGUUAUUUGUUUUUUAAAAAAAUAUUGAAAAAGUGACACUAUAACUAAAAGGUUGUAAUAAUAUUGACUUUUAAUGUCACAUUAUUUGAAAUUGGAAGUGUAUAAUAUGCUUAUAUAAUGAUUACAAUAACUGAAAUUUGAAAUUGGUAGGUGAGAACAUUGGACUGUCAAGUCAAAAAUAUAUGUAUGACAAAGUGAGCUUUUGAACAUAUCAAUAUUCAUUAUAAUAUUGAGGCAUUGCAGACAUUUUGUUGCAUAGAAAUCAAAGCAUUUCAAAUGCCAUUCAUAUGUAUCUAUGAACAUGUCUUUCCUUUUUGGUGUUAAUUUUUAUCUUUUGGUUUUGGGUUUGGCCACAAACGCUAUGAAAAAUAUGUAUUCACUACUAUUGUAAAAAAAGAUGAGUAUGAAAUCCUUUUUUUUCUUAUUUUUCACAUCACCACCCGUCCAACAUUUUUCCAAAAAAAAAAUAUGUUGACCAAUUUAUAAAAAAAAUGGCGUUAUUUUGAUAUCUGUAUUGAGAUUGUAUUUGUUUAAAACCAAUUAGUUUCAUUUUUCUUAUUCAAUAUUGAUCUUAUCCUUAUCUUAAAACAUGCCUCAGUGAUUUCAUUCAGCCUAUUGGUCAGCUAAAUAUGCAUGCCAAUCAAAAGUCUUAGUUCCCAAUCUUAGUUGCUUCUUGAAUACCGCACAUGAUCUAAAGGUAUUUUGGCAUACACUUGUUGAAAAGGUGGCUGUUGUAUGUAAUGAAAUUCUCUAUCAUAACUUACUGCCAGGAUAAUACUUUUUUAUCACUUUUUAGUGUACAUAUAUCUGUCAACAUUGUUCAUUUUUGAAAAAAAUGAAUUAAUCAUUCCUGUAGCGUUUUAAUAUUAAAAUAUUUUCAUUGUUUUAUGUCUACAUGCAUAUUUUUAAAACAAAUUGAAAAUGAGAGGCAUGAUCAUUGAAUUUCCUUUGUUAAGAAAUAAGUGCAGAUCCAUGACAGCCAGCAAUAAUUUCUUUUGAGAUGGCAGUUUCAUGUAAAAUGGAAAAAAAAUAUACUUCACAUAAUACACUUUAAAAGUAGCAGGUUUAUCCAUUCUUCAUUAAUGCAUGUAAGCAAAUUCUAAAAGUUUUACUUAAAUCUUUUUAUUCUCGAAAUAUGAUUUGUAAAGCAUCAUAAAUAGAUUGUUUUUAUAAAAGAAAGUCCCAUGUAAACAUUACUUAAAGCAAAGUCAUAUUAAUUUUACUAAACAUUUUGUAAAUUAUGUGUUCAGUUUAAUUGCAAAUUAAAUGUGUGUGCCAGUCUGAACACAGGACAAAUGACAUAGUUGUUUGCUCAUUCAUUAAAAAAACAUGGAGACAAAACGUAUUUUCAAGUAUUAACUAUGUAUUUAAGGUUGAAACAGAUUUUUCUUAUAUUUUUCUAGUUGACUGCGAUUUUGUAGCAAUCACAGUUUUUCUUAACCAUAUAGGCUAUUUUGACCAGAAUUGUUGGG